CUCUACUGAGCUUUUAAGAUUGACUUUAUUUGGCUAAACAAUGCCUCUGCCCUGGUUGUUCUCUCUGAGUCUCCUUUUCCCAUUUUUGAAGUGGAUUUCCUCAGUCAGCAGAUAACCUCAUAAAAUAAGCCUAACGUAUUUAUGCUACUGGUAGGCUCUCGCCAGUGGGAAUGAGUUAACCUUCCUUUACCCGUGUGAGAGGUACUGACUAAAAGUAAAGCACCCAAGGAUUAUGGCCUGUCAUAGCCAAGUUAGUAAAAGGAUAUGGAUCCCCACCUUUCGGUUUCCUGCUAUGGCAUGUCCUCAAAGCCACUUGUAACAGCCGACGUCUCCGCUGUCCCCACCCCCACCCUGCAGUCCCGCGGCCAACAGCGUCUCGUCAGCGUGACACUCAGCGGCCGCCAUCUUCCCCGCAGGCGUCACUGCAGGACGAUCCCUGUCUGGCACGUCUCUCCUGCCAUGUCUGCCACAGAGGAGCACGACUGGAUCCCGGGUGGCCCGGAUAGAGCUGGUGGCGGGGCGGGCCGCGACCCCAGUCUCCUUGGGGUCCAAGCAUCUGCUUCGGAGGGGAUGGAAGGAGUCGAGGAGGCCACAGCUCUUCUGGCCUCCUUGGAGGUCUCCAGUGCCCGUCCCGGGGAGCAGGGUUGGCCUCAGGCCGCAGUGGAAGAGGAGUGUGGUAGAGAGCCGUUAGAGGAGGAGGAGAUGGAGGAAGAUGUAGAGGAGAUGGAGGAGGACGAGGAAGAGGGGGAGAUUGAUUUCGAGGUGGAAGUCGUGGAGGAGGAGGCGCCUCUGUCUGGAGAGGGCGAGGAAGAGGAGGAUGAGAAUGAGCAGGAGGGUGCGGCAGCGGUUACAGGCCUUGGGUUCUCUAUGGAGACAUUUGGGCCCCUGUUCUGGAGUCACGUCGACUCCUUUCUACACAAUAUCCGUAACAACAAACAUCUCCUGUUCCGGCCUCCCACUGACGGCCUGAUGGCCGGGGCCUGCCCCCAGCCACCCUCGGACCCUGGAGAAGGUCCGGUGCCUCCUCAGGAGCGGGAAGACCUGGGAGAGGGAGACAGAGGCUUGCAGGGCCUAGACUCUGCUGCUGAUUUUAAGUUGGGGUAUUUUCCCUGCCAACUUUUGACCCCAAUGUCUGCAUCAUUCUGCCCUAAUGAUGAGGGUGAGGAUCAGUAUGAAAUGGCUGAUGAAGAGAAAGAGGAUGAAAAUGAAAAACCUGAAGGACUCUAAAUGGAUGUGGUCUCAGCAAAGAGCAGCUCUGGAUAAUACAGUUUUCAUGCAUGUGGAUGUUCGACAAAGCCUCAUUCUCAUUUUACACACGUGGAAACUGAAGGUCUGGAAAUCUAAGGGAUUUAUGAUUUGUGCAAGGGAACGCCAGUUUUUAAGUGGGAAGGCAUAGAAAGAAGCAGACAGCAAAGAAAAGAUGCAUUUGUUCUUCAUGGAUAUUCUUGUUUUCAUUAGCCUGAAAUACUAAUUUUGUUUCAAAGUUUCAACCCCCCAAAAUGAUAUUAACUACUGACAUCUGACUUUACUCUUAUCUUUUAACAGAUAAUUUGAUAGUAGUGUUCACAUUGGAAAUAAAAGCUUGUUUGAAAGUAAUAAGCUGUAGUGGUUUUUUUUUUUUUCACAUAAAUAACACUGACUCAAAUCUAUCAUUGUUCUAUUUAUUUUGGC
ensembl:lncRNA